rnacentral:rRNA from 1 species
GAUGAACGCUGGCGGCGUGCCUAAUACAUGCAAGUCGAGCGAACAGACGAGGAGUUUGCUCCUCUGACGUUAGCGGCGGACGGGUGAGUAACACGUGGAUAACCUACCUAUAAGACUGGGAUAACUUCGGGAAACCGGAGCUAAUAGCGGAUAAUAUAUUGAUCCGUAUGGUUCAAUAGUGAAAGACGGUUUUGCUGUCACUUAUAGAUGGAUCCGCGCCGCAUUAGCUAGUUGGUAAGGUAACGGCUUACCAAGGAGACGAUGCGUAGCAGACCUGAGAGGGUGAUCGGCCACACUGGAACUGAGACACGGUCCAGACUCCUACGGGAGGCAGCAGUAGGGAAUCUUCCGCAAUGGGCGAAAGCCUGACGGAGCAACGCCGCGUGAGUGAUGAAGGUCUUCGGAUCGUAAAACUCUGUUAUUAGGGAAGAACAAAUGUGUAAGUAACUAUGCACGUCUUGACGGUACCUAAUCAGAAAGCCACGGCUAACUACGUG